rnacentral:rRNA from 1 species
UGGGGAAUCUUGGACAAUGGGGGCAACCCUGAUCCAGCAAUGCCGCGUGUGGGAUGAAGGCCUUCGGGUUGUAAACCACUUUUGGCGGGGGCGAAAUAUCGAGUGCUAAUACCAUUCGGUGAUGACGGUACCCGCAGAAUAAGCACCGGCUAACUACGUGCCAGCAGCCGCGGUAAUACGUAGGGUGCAAGCGUUAAUCGGAAUUACUGGGCGUAAAGCGUGCGCAGGCGGUUAGGUAAGACAGGUGUGAAAUUCCCGGGCUCAACCUGGGAACUGCAUUUGUGACUGCCUGACUAGAGUGCGGCAGAGGGGAGUGGAAUUCCGCGUGUAGCAGUGAAAUGCGUAGAUAUGCGGAGGAACACCGAUGGCGAAGGCAACUCCCUGGGCCUGCACUGACGCUCGUGCACGAAAGCGUGGGGAGCAAACAGGAUUAGAUACCCUGGUAGUCCACGCCCUAAACGAUGUCGACUAGUUGUUGGACGGGUUACUGUUCAGUAACGAAGCUAACGCGUGAAGUCGACCGCCUGGGGAGUACGGCCGCAAGGUUAAAACUCAAAUGAAUUGACGGGGGUCAUA